AUUGAACGCUGGCGGCAGGCCUAACACAUGCAAGUCGAACGAGUGGCGGACGGGUGAGUAAUGUCUGGGAAACUGCCUGAUGGAGGGGGAUAACUACUGGAAACGGUAGCUAAUACCGCAUACCAUCAGAUGUACCCAGAUGGGAUUAGCUAGUUGGUGGGGUAACGGCUCACCAAGGCGACGAUCCCUAGCUGGGCGGAGAGGGUGACCAGCCACACUGGAACGGAGACACGGUCCAGACGCCUACGGGAGGAAGCAGUGGGGAAUAUUCCACAAUGGGCGCAAGCCUGAUGCAGCCAUGCCGCGUGUAUGAAGAAGGUCUGCGGGUUUUAAAGUACUUUCAUCGGGGAGGCGUUACCCGCAGAAGAAGCACCGGCUAACUCCGUGCCAGCAGCCGCGGUAAUAC
rnacentral:rRNA from 1 species